rnacentral:rRNA from 1 species
UACGGAGGGGGCUAGCGUUGUUCGGAAUUACUGGGCGUAAAGCGCACGUAGGCGGCUUUGUAAGUUAGAGGUGAAAAGCCCCAGGGGCUUAACCCCUGGAAUUGCCUUUAAGACUGCAUCGCUAGAAUCGUGGAGAGGUGAGUGGAAUUCCGAAGUGUAGAGGUGAAAUUCGUAGAUAUUCGGGAAGAAACACCGAGUGGCGAAGG